GAUGAACGCUGGCGGCGUGCCUAAUACAUGCAAGUCGAGCGAACAGACGAGGAGCUUGCUCCUCUGACGUUAGCGGCGGACGGGUGAGUAACACGUGGAUAACCUACCUAUAAGACUGGGAUAACUUCGGGAAACCGGAGCUAAUACCGGAUAAUAUAUUGAACCGCAUGGUUCAAUAGUGAAAGACGGUUUUGGUGUCGCUUGUAGAUGGAUCCGCGCCGCAUUAGCUAGUUGGUGAGGUAACGGCUUACCAAGGCGACGAUGCGUAGCCGGCCUGAGAGGGUGACCGGCAACAGUGGGACUGAGAUACGGCCCAGACUGCUACGGGAGGCAGCAGUGGGGAAUAUUGCACAAUGGGCGGAAGCAUGAUGCAGCAACGCCGCGUGCGGGAUGACGGCCUGCGGGUUGUAAACCGCUUUCGCAUGUGACGAAGCGUGAGUGACGGUAAUGGGUAAAGAAGCACCGGCUAACUACGUG
rnacentral:rRNA from 1 species